rnacentral:tRNA from 1 species
GGGCUUGUAGCUCAAUAGGAUGGAGCAUCCGGCUCUUACCCGGACGGAUGGGGGUUCGACUCCCCCCGGGCCCA